rnacentral:rRNA from 1 species
UACGAAGGGGGCUAGCGUUGCUCGGAAUCACUGGGCGUAAAGGGUGCGUAGGCGGGUCUUUAAGUCAGGGGUGAAAUCCUGGAGCUCAACUCCAGAACUGCCUUUGAUACUGAAGAUCUUGAGUUCGGGAGAGGUGAGUGGAACUGCGAGUGUAGAGGUGAAAUUCGUAGAUAUUCGCAAGAACACCAGUGGCGAAGGCGGCUCACUGGCCCGAUACUGACGCUGAGGCAGAA